CCAAAGCCUAAAGCCUGGGGAAUAAAACAGGACACAACAAAGAAACCUUGGAAAAUCUGGGAUUUGGGCCAUGGAGAUCCCUGGAUGUGCCCAAAGAAGAAGUUGGAAAAUUGCUGUGGAAAAGGAUGAAAGGAAUUACUCAAGGACUGGGAAAAACACCCUGGCCUGAGUUUGGUUGGAAAGGAAAUGGGAUUCCACUGGAAAAGAACAUCCACCAAGAGAGGAGGACACGCUGAAAUCCCAAGGAAGGCAGGACAGGAAAAUUAAAAUGGGAAACCAAGGCUGGAUGUCCUGGAAGAGGUGGGAACUGAGCACAGGCUUCACCAGGAGCCUCCAUCCAGGGAUAACUCCCAGAUGCAGAGAGCCAGGAAAUCCCACAGACUCCUGGGUGAAGCUCCAAAAUCCAGGACACCAGGAGAGUGAUCAGACACUCUGGUUCCUUCCUGAAUCUUUCCAUGGGAAAAAUUUUUCUACAGGGAAUUCCUGCACUGGAGCAGAUGUGACAUGAGGCAAGGCUGGGACAGUGCUGGAAGCUGAGCUGAGUUAUUCCUGUACAGAAUUGUAUUUGGAUUUUCAUCUUCCAGCCCUGGUAAAUUCAGGAAUCCAACCCCCAAUGAGGGAGGAAAAGCACUGGGAAUUAAUGGAACAGCUCAAGGAAAAAGCUGAGAAACCAACAGGGGACAAAAUACUGGGGAGCUCAGUCUGGAUACUGGGAAAAUUUCAUUGAAAGGGUGGUCCAAUAGUGGAGUCUCCAUCCCUGGAGGGAUUUAAAGCCCUGUGGAUGUGGCACUUGGGGACAUGGGCAGUGGUGGCCUUGGCAGUGCUGGGGAAGGGUUGGACUCAAUCUCAGAGGGUUUUUCCAACCUAAAGGAUUCUGUAAUUCCACCUUCUUCCAGAGGACACCAGCACCGAGCAGAAAUUCCCUUUACACAUCCCACCCACAGACUUCACAAUUCCAUCUGGGAUUGGGGUCAGUCAAAUGCUGCCAGACCAAGGCUCCUCCAACUCACCCUAAAUGGGGUGGAAAAACAGAAAAUUCCUGAUGGGACUCAGCUGUUCCAGCUGGAGGAGGAACACAAAGCAGGGGCCAAGAAGAGCAUCACUCCCAGAAAAAACAAAGCUGGAAUUCUGCAGUGUCAGGCUCAGAUUUUGAAACUGAUGACAAUGUGGGAAAACAGAAACUUCCUUCUCUUUAUUCCAUUCAAAGUUUGGUUUCAUCAACCUUGGAACAUUCUUCCCAGUCCUCACUCACAGCCAUCCAAAUGUCACACCCAAAAUUAGACAAAUUUUUCGUACUUCUGCUCCUGCAAUGCCAAUUUUUGCAAUUGUCUGGAAUAUCCUUCUCCUCCUCCUCCUCUUUCUAAAACACUCCAUGGGAAAUAUUUCCAUUUUGACAAUGGAGUUUUGAUGGUUGAGCCUCAGGGCUCAUUUUUAAUUGGAGCAAUUUUUUCCAUUUGCUAACGAUGCCUGCUCAAAAUCCAUUGUAAUAUCCAUUAAUUUGUCAAGGGGAAAAUAAUGCCCUAAUCCAUCUUUCUCAUUAAUUUCCUAUUAUGU
ensembl:lncRNA